GUCCACACAGUAAACGAUGAAUACUCGCUGUUUGCGAUAUACAGUAAGUGGCCAAGCGAAAGCAUUAAGUAUUCCACCUGGGGAGUACGCCGGCAACGGUGAAACUCAAAGGAAUUGACGGGGGGCCCGCACAAGCGGAGGAACAUGUGGUUUAAUUCGAUGAUACGCGAGGAACCUUACCCGGGCUUAAAUUGCAUUUGAAUAUAUUGGAAACAGUAUAGCCGUAAGGCAAAUGUGAAGGUGCUGCAUGGUUGUCGU
rnacentral:rRNA from 1 species